GUUUUUAUAGUUGAACAACAACAGUGGUUUUUCGUAUCGCAGGUUUUGGUUAAAACCCAAGUAAAAACU
rnacentral:tRNA from 1 species